GCGUCGGGAGGGCGCGGAGGCCAGGCCUGCGCGCUGCUGCUCUGCUGCGCAGGCGCGGGGCGGGCGGAGGCCGGAACGCGCAGAGCGGAACCGACCUUGCGGUCGCGUCCGCGAUGGCGGAGGCGUCUUGGUGGUGCCGAGGAGGGACUUCAAAGCAUGACCUGCAUUACAGAAGAGAGGCGGAGGUGAACACCACAGUUGAAGAGCUCCUACUCUACUUUAUUUUUUUAAUAAAUCUAUGUAUACUGACUUUUGGGAUGGUCAACCCACACAUGUACUACUUAAACAAAGUCAUGUCGUCCCUGUUUGUGGACACGUCUCUGCCCAACGAUGAAAGGAGCAGCUUUAGGUCCAUCCGAAGCAUAACCGAGUUUUGGAAGUUCAUGGAAGGACCCCUCCUGGAAGGCUUGUACUGGGACUCGUGGUACAACAGCCAGAGGCUGUACAACUGGAAGAACAGCAGCCGCAUCUACUACGAGAACAUCCUCCUCGGCGUCCCCAGGGUGCGGCAGCUGAGAGUCCGCAACGACACCUGCAGGGUCUACGUGGCCUUCCAGUCCCUCUUCAGCGACUGCUACGCCAAGUACACAGCUGAAAACGAGGACCUGUCCGAUUUCGGCCUCAAGAACGGGACAGAAUGGAAGCACUCGGCUUCUUCCACCAAUGCCCUUUGGCACUGGGGGUUUGUCGGCGUUUACCGAGAUGGAGGAUAUAUAUUCACAUUAUCGAAAUCAAAAUCUGAAGCCAAAACCAAACUCGCCGAGCUGCGCCUGAACAGUUGGAUCGACAGAGGCACCAGAGCUGUGUUUAUUGACUUUUCCUCAUAUAAUGCCAACGUCAAUCUGUUCUGCAUCGUCAGGCUGGUGGCGGAGUUCCCCGCGACAGGCGGCCUCCUCACCUCGUGGCAGUUCUACUCCGUGAAGCUCCUGAGAUAUGUCACCUACUACGACUACUUCAUUGCGUCCUGCGAGGUCAUCUUUUGUAUCUUUCUUUUUGCCUUUAUAACACAAGAACUGAGAAAACUGAAUGAGUUUAAGUUUGCCUAUUUCAAAAGUAUCUGGAACUGGCUGGAGCUGCUGCUUUUGAUGCUUUGUUUUCUGGCUGUUUCUUUCUACGCAUACUGUAACAUGCAGAAUUACCUCUUGCUUGGACGGCUGUUGAAUAACACUGAGAGCUAUCCGGACUUCUAUUUUCUCGCAUACUGGCACAUUUACUAUAACAAUAUAAUUGCUAUCACGAUCUUCUUUGCAUGGAUAAAGAUAUUCAAAUUCAUAAGCUUCAACGAGACCAUGUCUCAGCUGUCCUCCACGCUGUCCCGCUGCAUGAAGGACAUCGUGGGAUUCGCCAUUAUGUUUUUUAUCAUAUUCUCCGCUUACGCCCAGUUAGGAUUUCUUGUUUUUGGGUCACAGGUUGAUGACUUCUCGACUUUUCAAAAUUCCAUAUUUGCACAAUUUCGAAUUGUCCUUGGGGACUUUAACUUUGCUGGCAUCCAGCAGGCCAACUGGAUCUUGGGGCCCAUCUACUUCAUCACGUUCAUCUUCUUUGUGUUCUUUGUACUCCUGAACAUGUUCUUGGCAAUAAUUAACGACACCUAUUCUGAAGUGAAGGCUGAUUAUUCAAUAGGCAGAAGACCAGAUUUUGAACUUAGUAACAUAAUUAAGAAGGUAAGUCAAUGGGCUAGAGAGAUGGCUCAGAGGUUAAGAACACUCUUCUUCCAGAGGUCCUGAGUUCGAUUCCCAGCAACCACAUGGUGGCUCACAACCAUCUAUAAUGAGAUCUGGUACCCUCUUCUGGUGUGCAGGCACACAUACAGGAAGAAUACUGUAUACAUAAUAAAUAAAUAAGUUUAAAAAAGAGAAGGUAAGCUAACUUAUUUUCCUAAACAUAAACUUAUAGAAAACUUAUAAAAAUUUAUAAACUUAUAAAAAACUUAUAUCACUUAAACCCUCCAGUGAGACACACACACACCAGACUUUUUCGUUGUUUUUUAUGCCUCACAAGCUGGCCUCAAACUCACUGUGCAGCUGAGAGUCAUCUCAUGAUCCUCUGGUUUCUACCUCCUGUGUGCUAUGACUCCAGGCAUGCACCACCGUGCCCAGUUUAUGUGGUCCUUGGGUUGGAAACCAGGGCUUCAUGCAUGCUAGACCUACCUCAAUGUGCUCGAGAAGCUCAAACUGAAAAAAGCUCAAGAUGAUGAAGACAAGAAAACGAAAACAACUGAAGAGUUGGCCCAACAAGCCAGAAAAGAAGGCUUUAGUGAAAACGAGAUCCAAGGGGC